GAUGAACGCUGGCGGCGUGCCUAAUACAUGCAAGUCGAGCGAACGGACGAGAAGCUUGCUUCUCUGAUGUUAGCGGCGGACGGGUGAGUAACACGUGGAUAACCUACCUAUAAGACUGGGAUAACUUCGGGAAACCGGAGCUACUACCGGAUAAUAUUUUGAACCGCAUGGUUCAAAAGUGAAAGACGGUCUUGCUGUCACUUAUAGAUGGAUCCGCGCUGCAUUAGCUAGUUGGUAAGGUAACGGCUUACCAAGGCAACGAUGCAUAGCCGACCUGAGAGGGUGAUCGGCCACACUGGAACUGAGACACGGUCCAGACUCCUACGGGAGGCAGCAGCAGGGAAUCUUCCGCAAUGGGCGAAAGCCUGACGGAGCAACGCCGCGUGAGUGAUGAAGGUCUUCGGAUCGUAAAACUCUGUUAUUAGGGAAGAACAUAUGUGUAAGUAACUGUGCACAUCUUGACGGUACCUAAUCAGAAAGCCACGGCUAACUACGUG
rnacentral:rRNA from 1 species